UACGGAGGAUGCAAGCGUUAUCCGGAUUUAUUGGGUUUAAAGGGUGCGCAGGCGGGCUUGUAAGUCAGUGGUGAAAUCUUACGGCUUAACCGUAAAACUGCCAUUGAUACUGCAAGUCUAGAGUACAUUUGACGUGGGCGGAAUGUAGCAUGUAGCGGUGAAAUGCUUAGAUAUGCUACAGAACACCGAUUGCGAAGGCAGCUCACGAAACUGAUACUGACGCUGAGGCACGAAAGCGUGGGGAGCGAACAGG
rnacentral:rRNA from 1 species